GGUGAUCGCCGGCCGGCCGGUUAACUCCGGCUGACGAGAGGAAAGUCCGGGCUCCAAAGGGCAGGGUGCUGGGUAACGCCCAGUGAGGGUGACCUCAAGGACAGUGCCACAGAAAGCAAACCGCCUCGCGCAGACGAGGUAAGGGUGAAACGGUGAGGUAAGAGCUCACCAGUCUUCCGGGUGACCGGAAGAGCUAGGUAAACCCCACCCGGAGCAAGACCGAAUAGGGGAGUGUUUGAGGGCGGCCCGUCCGAGACUCCCGGGUUGGUUGCUUGAGGCGUCGGGUAACCGCCGCCCUAGAGGAAUGAUCGCCAUCCCCCGCGGGGUAACCGGCGGGGGAAACAGAACCCGG
rnacentral:RNase_P_RNA from 1 species